AAAACGUCGAAAAUGUUCGCUUUUUCUUAAUAAAGUGUGUUUUUUGAACUACAUUACUGCAUCUAGCGCUUGAGUUCAUCUAUCACUAAUGGUAGUAGGUGGGUGCAGUGAGUUUUUCAACGAUCAGUUGAAUGGAAAUCGGGUUCUUAUGCACUUUGACAUAUGCAAAAAGUAUUGGACAGGAAGGAGUUUUAACCGGCUGAUGCUUCCAAAAGUCCGGAAAAUUCUUGGAUUUGCAAAUUCUAUCAACUUCUGCUUGCAACUCAUGCGUUGGGUCUUUGUCUACACUAUCUGGAUGAGUAUCCUGUGUAUAACCCUUUAGGAAGUCUUUAUAGCUAUGUUCUUCCAUUAAUACCGUUCUCUUAGUUUUGUCUUCUCAUGUAAUAAUGUAGAAUGCAUGUAGAAUGUACAAUGUAUGUAGAAGACAUGUUGAACAGUCUGCCAGCAGAAGGCAUCGAAAAAGAAAAGUUGCAGUGGCAAUUUGUUAGAGAGAAGUCUAAAAAAAACAAUGGCAGCUGAGACGCAACUACGGAAGAGGAUUUGUCCUUACUUCAACUGACGAGAAAUUGGAUGAGAAAUCAGGGCCUCGUUAUUACAAGCGGAAGCGUUAGACACGCUUAGGAGUGUUAUGGGGUUUUGUGUAGGAUGCGUCGAUGAUGUGAUCACUGUCUGGAGGCGGGAGUGCAGCCCGAGGCCUUAGCGGAGCGAUUGACUGUAGAGUCUUGUGGGCUGAUCUUGAACCAGCAGCGUGC
rnacentral:lncRNA from 1 species